rnacentral:rRNA from 1 species
CAGUCGCCACGGUAACACAGAGGGUGCAAGCGUUACUCGGAAUUACUGGGCGUAAAGCGUGCGUAGGUGGUGGUUUAAGUCCGUUGUGAAAGCCCUGGGCUCAACCUGGGAAUUGCAGUGGAUACUGGAUCACUAGAGUGUGGUAGAGGAUAGUGGAAUUUCCGGUGUAGCAGUGAAAUGCGUAGAGAUCGGAAGGAACAUCUGUGGCGAAGGCGACUAUCUGGGCCAACACUGACACUGAGGCACGAAAGCGUGGGGAGCAAACAGGAUUAGAUACCCGCGUAGUCCCUGUCUCUUAUAC